GCAGAUAUAGUUUUAAACCAAACAUUAGACUGUGAUUCUAAAAAUAGAGGUUCAAACCCUCUUACCUGCC
rnacentral:tRNA from 1 species